rnacentral:scRNA from 1 species
GCCGAACCGAUGCUCGUGGUCGAGGAGAUCGC